rnacentral:rRNA from 1 species
CCUACGGGAGGCAGCAGUGGGGAAUAUUGCACAAUGGGCGCAAGCCUGAUGCAGCCAUGCCGCGUGUAUGAAGAAGGCCUUCGGGUUGUAAAGUACUUUCAGCGGGGAGGAAGGGAGAGAGGUUAACAACCUCGCUCAUUGACGUUACCCGCAGAAGAAGCACCGGCUAACUCCGUGCCAGCAGCCGCGGUAAU